GCGCGAGUGGUCUAAUGGUUAUGAUUUCGCCCUUCCAAGGCGAUGGUCCGGGUUCGAUUCCCGGCUUGCGCA
rnacentral:tRNA from 1 species